rnacentral:rRNA from 1 species
AUUAACGCUGGCGGCGUGCCUAAUACCUGCAAGUCGCGCGAACAGACGAGGAGCUUGCUCCUCUGACGUUAGCGGCGGACGGGUGAGUAACACGUGGAUAACCUACCUAUAAGACUGGGAUAACUUCGGGAAACCGGAGCUAAUACCGGAUAAUAUAUUGAACCGCAUGGUUCAAUAGUGAAAGACGGUUUUGCUGUCACUUAUAGAUGGAUCCGCGCCGCAUUAGCUAGUUGGUAAGGUAACGGCUUACCAAGGCAACGAUGCGUAGCCGACCUGAGAGGGUGAUCGGCCACACUGGAACUGAGACACGGUCCAGACUCCUACGGGAGGCAGCAGUAGGGAAUCUUCCGCAAUGGGCGAAAGCCUGACGGAGCAACGCCGCGUGAGUGAUGAAGGUCUUCGGAUCGUAAAACUCUGUUAUUAGGGAAGAACAAAUGUGUAAGUAACUAUGCACGUCUUGACGGUACCUAAUCAGAAAGCCACGGCUAACUACGUG